UUGUCUCCAAAAGCAUAAACAGAACCUUUGUGCUUUUGGCGGCAAAAACACCGAUGAGCUGAUACCCACGUGAGUUGACGAGUCGAUCUUAAGAGAGCAGAGCUGAGUAUUCACGUAACAAAAUGGCAACUUCUCUCCGGUCCAGUGUAAAAGAAAUUCCUGCUCGACAGAGGGUGCAGCUAUCAAGGACUCACAGUAGCGGUUUUCAUGACCAAAAAAGUUCUCCCCUAGGGCGCUUUUCUCCCGUCAACGACUGCUUUAACCUCACGUGGUAUUUUACCGUGCCUACAGUAUGGAACAAAUCUAGGAGCAAUGUUUAAAACGCAUGGAAGGCAACUAUAAAGAUGUGGCAAAUAUGACCUGUCAUAAAAAGUCAAGCAGUGUCACCGCACUUGGCUGCAAAACUCAACAAAAAUAAACGAGCUGCUCUGUGAGCAGAUACUCACUAUGAAGAAGUAAUGGAACUCGGACUUUUCGGGUCGUCGCCCCUGAGAGUCAUCCUUUCUCAAGCUGGGAGCCUAGGUAACACGUGUAUUAGAUUUCCCCUUGUGCGUAAAAGCAGUGGGAAAAAAGUUGGACUCCACACGGGGCUCAAGAAAACAUCUAAACAAUGUUUGCUGUCUUUAGGCAAUCCUGUCGUCUGCAGGUUAUUCUUGUUUUAUUUCUUUUACAAAAUACGAGGCCUUACCCUGAAACAGGAGGUGUUUCUGCCUAUUGCCUAUCUAUCCUUUGAUAACAUUAUUGAGGCAAAGGUUCAUCCAAUCAAACUGUUGGGUAAAGAAAUAUAGUCCUAGAUAUUAUGUCAUCACAUGAGGUGUAAAAACACCUUUCUGUCAUGGUCAGGGCUUUGUGAUAACCCUGACCCACAUUUUAGACAAGCAUAAUAAAUUUGCUAUCUUUAUCACACUUUAUCAAGUUAAUUAACACUCACCAGAAUCUUGAGCUUGAAGAUUCCUCCGCCAGAGAAACUGCAGCAAAGCCACUAGGGAAAGAAUAAUCACAUGAGAAUCAGUAGGCUGAUUCAAUUAGGCUGCAAAAUAGAGAAGGAAGACACGGAAUUGCUAUCCUCCCCGGACAGAUGGCUCAAUGAGUAUCAAGUUUUGGGCUAAAACGUGACUUAGUAGCAUGAGAUGUUGUUAUCGGCAAUAUUGUUUUCUGUUACCGUUUUUGUUUACUUUUUGCUGUCUGCCAAUCGACAAUUUCUUCAAUCAGAUUGAUGAGUGGAAUAGAUCAUGUGAGCUAAAAAUAAAUAAGUAUAAUUGAAAUAAUCCUAUAUGUACUGUUGGAUUUGGUCCACAAUUAUCCAACUCACUGCGUGCUCGUUUUAUUUCUUUGUUUUUUAGGACAAAAAUAAGACACCGUAAUAAAAAAUUGGUUGAGUUGAGUCAAACCAAUUGAGUCAAACGGGUUGGUUGAUUUCAAUCACAGUUCCGACUUGUGAUCAAGCUACAUUUAGCAAUUUCAUUAAUACUCAAUUUGUUUAAUGUUUCCUGACAAUUUUUGUCUAUUUUCCAUGCAUACCGCGCUUUUGUUUGUUCUUUUCAUAUUCCAUGCAGUUGUUUACUUUCGUCUCAUUCUCAGUUAAUCAUGCUUUCAACCGUAUCUUUUCUUUGUUAGGCAAAACAUUUCCCUCUGUCUAGAACGGAUCUCUCCGGCCGCUCUCAAUUUAUCCAGUUCAAAUCAUCUCAUCCCUCCCCGCUGUCCUCUGAUGUUCCCCAGGGCUCUGUCUUUGGUCCAAUCUUAUUUAUCGUUUACCUCCUCCCACUUGGUUUGAUUUUCCGAAAACACAUCAACUUUCACUGCUACGCGGACGACACCCGGCUCUACGUCUCCUCCAAACCCCCUUCCACUCCUGGAUGACCUACCUGGCAGCUUGACCCGCUUGUCUUCAUCGCCAAUUGUCCAGAUAUAAACCAUCAUGUCCAUCCCACCAGUGGCAAAGUGCUCAUUAUCAGGUGCCCAGGCUAAGCUAACUGGUUUUGCAUGGUGCCCAUAAAACUCAUUUUUGACCUUGAACAAAAUAGCAGGGAGAGGGCAGAGGUUAGCUUUGAAACCUGUGGAUAAUUGAUUUUAAAAAAGACAAUAAUUACCGAGUAGCCAUCUGCCACACUGAAGGCUGUGGCCACCCUUUUGUCAUCUAUGACUGCCAAAUAGGCUCCAUUAUCAGAGUAACCCAUAUCUGUAAUGGCGCCUUUAACCGCAAUGGUUUUUCCCUCAUCCUUUAGAGUAUUGCCUUGCACCGAGUACAGACGAAUUGUACCAUCCUGCGGAAAAGAAGAGGGAGAGCAUAGGUGAGUCCUCCUUUACCAAGAGCAAUUAAGAGGUGACAGGAAUCUGUUCACAUGCAGUGCUUUUGCUUCCUGGACACAUACACCAAAGCCCAUUUGUGCAACCAAGCAGCUCAGAACAACCAUUAGCUAAACCACCAGCUGUCUUGUUUCGUCAGUUCAGGCUGGAUAAAUGAACCGCUCUGGCGAGUCUAUUUGUGACCGCCAAUUCUUAGAUGUUCACUUACUGUCCCCCCUACAGCGGCAGUGCUCCCUGCUGGAUUGAGAACUCCAACUUCGGGUUCGUAGUCAAGGUUUUCCAGUGUGAAGACAUUUCGCUUGUCCUUCUGUAAGACUACCUGGAAAAAGCAACAAAGUUUAAUGGAUUUGUUCAUUUCGAGUCUAACAUUAAACUCUAAUGUACAGAC